rnacentral:lncRNA from 1 species
GUGGUGUGGAGGCUGAUCUACAUCAUGUAUGAUACCGUACUCGUAAAUUAGGGCAGAAAGAGCCGCACCAACAAAAGGUCCCAGCCAGUAGAUCCAAUGGUUCCUCCAUCUCCACCCCACCAAAGCUGGCCCGAAGGCCCUCGCAGGGUUCAUCGAUGCUCCUUCGAACGGCCCUCCCACCAGUAUGUUAGCCCCCAAGACGAACGCGAUAGCAAGAGGUGCAAUGGUGCCCAAGCUGCCCCUUUUCGGAUCAAAAGCCGUCGCAUAAACUACGUAAACUAGUCCAAAUGUCAGAAUUAUCUCCAUCAGAAGUGCAUUCAAGUUCCCUUCUCCAGCAGCCACCGAGAACCCCAUCGGUCUCUACAAAAUCCAAAAUCAAAUUACAGCAUGCAUGAUUAAGGCGCGAUGGGCAACAUUGAGGAAUUAAUACGCUAAAAACAACAUUUACAGGAACUAGAGCUAUGAAGUUAGAUGCAGGCAGC